rnacentral:rRNA from 1 species
UCCACUUUAUCCUGGUGGCGGCUGCGGCUAUCUGAUUUGCACUUAGGCAUGCAAGUUUUUUGAUACUUUGUAUUGAAGAGCGAACUGCUCAGUAACACGUAGUUAACCUGCCCUAAAGUCAGGGAUACCCUCGGGAAACUGAGGUUAAUACCUGAUAGAAGAUGGAACCUGGAAAGAAUCAUCUUUCAAACUCGAGCUUUAGGAUGGGACUGCGGCUGAUUAGGUCGUUGGCGGGGUAAAAGCCCACCAAGCCGAUGAUCAGUAAGGGCCUUUAGCGAGGGAGCCCUGAGACGGAAUCUGAGACACUAUUCCGAGCCCUACGGGGUGCAGCAGCCGGGUAACUUUUGCAAUGCACGAAAGUGUGACAAAGCAAGUCAGAGUGUUUCUCAAUUUUGAGAAACUUUUGCCAAAUGUAAAAAGUUUGGCGAAUAAGGACUGGGCAAGACAGGUGCCAGCCGCCGCGGUAAUACCUGCGGUCCAAGUCGCAGCCACAAUUAUUGGGUCUAAAACAUCCGUAGCUUGUCAUGAAAGUUUUCUGUUAAAUCAUGUUUCUUAAGAUCAUGCUGCAGAAAAUACUUCAUGGCUAGGGACCGGCAGACAUAAGGAGUACAGCAGAGGUAGUGGUAAAAUACGUUAAUCUUUGCUGGACUAACAAGAGCGAAGGCACCUUACGAGGACGGAUCUGACAGUAAGGGAUGAAGGCUAGGGGCGCAAAACGGAUUAGAUACCCGUGUAGUCCUAGCAGUAAACACUGCGCACUAAACAUUAGUACCUCUUCGAGAGGUAUUGGUGCUGUAGCGAAGGCGAAGAGUGCGCUACCUGGGAAGUACGGUCGCAAGGCUGAAACUUAAAGGAAUUGGCGGGGGAGCACUACAACGGGUGACGCGUGCGGUUCAAUUAGAUUCUACACCGUGAACCUCACCAGGAGCGACAGCAGAAUGAAGGUCAGUCUGAAGGGCUUACCUGACACGCUGAGAGGAGAUGCAUGGCCGACGUCAGCCUGUGCCGUGAGGUGACCGGUUAAAUCCGGUAACAGGCGAGACCCGCGUGUAUAGUUGCUACGUUCAGAGCACACUAUACAGAUUGCCGUCGUUAGACGGAGGAAGGUGCGGGCUACGUUAGGUGAGUACGUCCCGAAUCCCCUGGGCGACACGCGCGCGUCAAUGCUAGAUACAAUUGGAUGCAACUCCGAGAGGAGAAGCUAAUCCCCUAAAGUCUAGCUUAGUUCAGAUUGAGGCUUGCAACUCAGCCUCAUGACGCUGGAACCCGUAGUAAUCGUUCGUUAGCAGCGAACGGUGAAUAAGUCCCUGCUCCUUGCACACACCGCCCGUCAAGCCAACCGAGUUAUGCUUUGGUGAAGUUCAUCUGAAAUGAAUCUUAGUAUGACAAGGUAGGUUAAGUCGACACAAGGUA